UCGGGUAGGAUAAGAUUCCACGUAUGCUAGAUUCUUCUCCUUGGGAAACCCUGGAUGGGGUCAAGCUAUCAUGCGGUGGCCGGUAGCAAUACCUGCCUUUAGGAUGAUUCACUUAAACCCGUGUCUACCUUCUUUGUUGCUUUGGCGGGCCGCCUCACGGCGUUGGCUCCGGCUGACCGUGCCCGCCAGAGAUCUAAACUCUUUUGUUUUAGUGACGUCUGAGUACUAUAUAAUAGUUAAAACUUUCAACAACGGAUCUCUUGGUUCUGGCAUCGAUGAAGAACGCAGCGAAAUGCGAUAAGUAAUGUGAAUUGCAGAAUUCAGUGAAUCAUCGAAUCUUUGAACGCACAUUGCGCCCCUUGGUAUUCCGAGGGGCAUGCCUGUUCGAGCGUCAUUAUGACCAAUCAAGCCUGGCUUGGUGUUGGGGUUCGCGGUUUCGCGGCCCUUAAAAUCAGUGGCGGUGCCGCACGGCUCUAAGCGUAGUAAUUUUCUCGCUAUGGUGUCCGGGUGGUUGCUUGCCAGAACCCCUAUUUUUACGGUUGACCUCGGAUCAGGUAGGGAUACCCGCUGAACUUAAGCAUAUCAAUAAGCGGAGGA
rnacentral:rRNA from 1 species